rnacentral:rRNA from 1 species
GACCGGCGAACGGGUGAGUAACGCGUACGUAACCUGGCUACAGAUGGGGGAUAACCCUGGGAAACUGGGAUUAAUACCGCAUAAAAUAAUAAUAUGGCAUCAUAUAAUUAUUAAAGGAGAGAUCCGUCUGUAGAUGGGCGUGCGUUCUAUUAGUUAGUUGGUGAGGUAACGGCUCACCAAGGCGAUGAUAGAUAGGGGGCGUGAGAGCGUGAUCCCCCACACGGGUACUGAGACACGGACCCGACUCCUACGGGAGGCAGCAGUAAGGAAUAUUGGACAAUGGGGGCAACCCUGAUCCAGCCAUCCCGCGUGCAGGAAGACAGCUCUAUGGGUUGUAAACUGCUUUUGUAUGGGAAGAAUAGUUAAUUUUCAAGUUGAUUUGACGGUACCAUAAGAAUAAGCACCGGCUAACUCCGUGCCAGCAGCCGCGGUAAUACGGAGGGUGCAAGCGUUAUCCGGAAUCACUGGGUUUAAAGGGUGCGUAGGCGGUUUGAUAAGUCAGAAGUGAAAGUCUACGGCUUAACUGUAGAAUUGCUUUUGAUACUGUCAGACUUGGGAUGUGGUUGAGGUAUGCCGGAAUGGUGGCAUGUAGCGGGUGAAAUGCAUAGAUAUGCCAUAGAACACCAAUUGCGAAGGCAGCAUACCGGGCCAUGAUUGACG